rnacentral:misc_RNA from 1 species
CGAUAAGCCCAGCACUAUUUCGUAAGCAUUCUUCAAUAAUUUUUCGUUAUUUCAAGUACCUAAUUUAUUUAUCCUCUAUUUACCGAACGAUGAGUACCCGCGUAUUUGUCGGCGGCCUAAACCACAAAGUCCGCGAAAAAGAUCUGGAAAAAUUCUUCCGCCAUUACGGCCGUACGAAGGAGGUAGCGAUGAAAAAUGGCUACGCGUUCGUCGAGUUCGAGGACUACAGGGACGCCGAGGACGCCUGCUACGAAAUGAACGGUAAGGACCUUAUGGGCGAUAGAAUUACGGUAGAGAGGGCCCGGGGUACGCCGAGGGGUACCGACCGUUACAAGGACAACAGAAGGGGAAGCUACGGGGGCGGAGGCUCGCGCCCCAGAGAGCGAAGCGACCGCGGAGACCGGGACGGUCGUAGAGAGAGCAGAUACGGCCCCCCUACCAGGACCAAGUUCCAAGUGAUCAUCGAAAACCUCUCAAGCCGUUGCUCGUGGCAAGACCUGAAAGAUUAUAUGAGGAAGGCGGGAGAGGUCACUUUCGCGGACGCACACAAGCACAACAAUCAAGGAAUUGUUGAGUUUGCUACUUACGAGGAUAUGAAAAAUGCCAUCGAGAAGCUUGAUGACACAGAGAUCAACGGUCGUAGGAUUAGAGUCGUUGAGGCUGUUAAGAGGGCCAGUCGGUCACAUUCGAGAUCUAGAUCUAGGUCACCGUUGGGUGGGGCGGAUAAUAGGUCCAGAUCAAGGGAUUAAGAAGGUACUUGAUCCAUUCCCACUUCUCCAUACAGUUCCACAAAACGAGAGUACACGACAAAAAAAAAUCACAGAAGAUUCAGUUUUUCCAUCCAGGGGGGUUUGAGUAUUGACCAGGCCAACGGACCCCAAAAAACAAAAUUGGACCCAAAAUCCCACUAAAUUUAUUUAAUUCACUUUGUUACAUUUCACGCCCACUUUAUGACCUACAACUAGAACUAACCAGGCCUUUUUAAACGGAUGGUCCAAUUUACCAAUUAAAACUAACCCGUGAGGCUGUCCGAAUAAAAAAAAAAGUCCCAAUUGGGGUUAAGCGGCUGCAUAAUUUUUCCUUUCCGUAACGGGGGUCCGUAACCGACACCAAUGCCAGCCAAAAAAUUAAUUUCCCAGGGACACUAUCUCCAUCAAGGUUCCAAUUUUGAGGGUGACACUGAGCUGCGGUAGCAUCUACCUUCAAAGUUGGAUCAAGUGGUUUGGAUCGAAAUUUCCAAAAAAAAAAAAACUGAAUAAGGGUUCUACAGAACGCAUCAAAUCCUGGAUGCAUAUGACAUUUUUUAAUUAAUUAGUAUGUAGAGUUUGUUUUGGUGGUAAAUAGGAAGUAAGGUAUUGAAUUUGAAAGGUUUUUUUGUUCAUAUGGGCCUGUUUGUGAAACUUGUCUCUGGUUUUUUAAUUUGAAGUAAGUGUAGAUACCAAAAAAGGGUUCAGACAAAAAUUUAAUAAUAUCUAAGUGAAAUUAUUUAUAUAUUCACCCUUUUUUCAAGUUUUUAAAACCGGUACUUUGAGGAAAAAAUUUAAUAACACAGCAUGAAUAUUCAGAUUUUUAGGCAAUGUUGCUGUCUUGUGAAAUAUACGCAAAUUUGAUAGAAAGAGA